CAAGUGCUAGCCCACACCGGCCGUGCAAAAGUGUCGCCGCUCUUCGAGCAGGAAAGCCGCAUCCUUCUGAGUUUGGCGGAGCGGCGGCGGCGGCCGUCGGCGUGACCACCGGAGGUCGCGGGAAACCCCACGGAGAUCAGGAUUCCUCCGCUUGCGACGGCAUGCCCGCAGCUUGGGCGAGCGAUGAGGAUUCCUCCGCUCCUAGCCUCCUAGGAACUUACGGGAGGCGAGGCGAGGGGAGGCCAGAUUUCAGCCCUUCCUAUUUCACCCUACGAGAUUUUACUGCACACACUGUUGUACAAUGUUGAGAAAAGCUAUAGAGUGUUCAUGGUUGAAUCUGUAAGGAAAGGGGAUGAUGCUUUGGGAUGGCCUCGAGAAGCGACACAGUGCACAGAUGCCAAAUUGCAGUUCAGAGGAACAUCACCAGGGCUAUCAAAAGGGCAGAAGUUGAAGCAAUUCCCGUGAGUAGAAAGAGUCCUGAAAAGUUUUUGAAGUUUAAUCUGCUAGAGCCGAUGAUGGCACCGUCAUUCUGACAGGAAGGUUUGGGCUGAUGUCCUUGCUUGGGUUCAGUUUCCCUUCCGGCCGCCUUGCUCCGGCGACGCAAAGGCGUCGCUUCAAUGGUCUUGCUUACCUCUUGGAUGAUUUAGAAGCAUCGCAAUGCCUGCACCUUCGAAGGCACACACGCCUGCAAUGCCUCUUUGCUUAGACACAUCAACGAUGAGGCUAAGCUUUGGGUCUUCGCCCACGCCUUUUUCUUUUCUUUUCGAAAUGGGGUAUCCCCUGCCUCUGCAUCAAUUGAUGCAUACAGGUCUUCGCCCGCGCCUCUUGCCUAAGGCUUUGGUUACCUACAGACUGGGAUGUCCACUAAUCCCCUAUUUUCUUUAUUAGCCUGGGUGUGUUUUUGCUGUUUUAUCUUGGUUGCUCGUGCCCUUUUCUUAGGCCUGUAAAACUCCCUACCUUUUCAAUAUAUUAAAACGCAAGCUUGGCGUUUCCUCGAAAAAACAGUUUUCCAUUUCGGGGCUAUUUCGUAAAACCCCUUAAUUUGUUUCAGACUAGCAGUGGCACUAGAAAAGUGUAGCAAUAUAAGUGUAGUAAUGAAAUUAAGGAAAAAUGCACUGUUCAUUUGAUUCAUUUCACUGUAGAUAAAAUCUAUUUCUACAAUUUUAUUUAAUUUUGGUAAAAAGAAGUUCUGAAAUAUUUUGGUAUAAUCGGUUAUCAAUAUACUUUGCAACAGAAUUUGAACUGUGUAGAAUUUGGCUUUAUCACAGAAAUCCAAUUUAACAGUAAUUUAUUGUGUCCAACAAAUUUUUUUUUUUUGAGAUGUUCACAGUUUUUGAUAUGUACCUUCUGAUGCAGCUCGGAUAUUGUCUCCGUUGGAAUCCCUGAUGUGGAGAACCAGCUUUGUUGUAUAAUUCCUGUGGACUGCAUAGAAAUCCUCCAUAGCCAUCAGAAUGCUAGUACGUGCUAUUUUGCCCACCAGAGACUGCAGAUCGAGGAUAGCUCCAACAUUGAGUAUUCCCGUUCCACUUUGUGUUACAUUUUGAGCAACACUGAAGCUGAGGAACGGCAACAACAACAACAACAACAAGGUGGUCUUAGCUGCUGUGUCCAUCCUCGAGCUGUUUCUACAGAAUGUAUGGGGCCAGUGCAUAGUCUCUUAUAGUUAUGAUUCUUAUUAUUUAUCGCACUGACGGAGCAAUAAUCGUUCUCAUUGGCAUUAUUCUAACCAAGUCUUGGUCAGCUCUGA